CCUACGGGAGGCAGCAGUGGGGAAUAUUGGGCAAUGGGCGCAAGCCUGACCCAGCAACGCCGCGUGAAGGAAGAAGGCUUUCGGGUUGUAAACUUCUUUUGUCCGGGCCGAAGCAAGUGACGGUACCUGACGCAUACGCACCGGCUAACUACGUGCCAGCAGCCGCGGUAAUACGUAGGUGGCAAGCGUUAUCCGGAUUUCUUGGGUGUAAAGGGCGUGUAGGCGGGAAUGCAAGUCAGAUGGUAAAACUAUGGGCUCAACCCAUAGCCUGCAUUUGAAACUGUAUUUCUUGAGUGCUGGAGAGGCAAUCGGAAUUCCGUGUGUAGCGGUGAAAUGCGUAGAUAUACGGAGGAACACCAGUGGCGAAGGCGGAGUGCUGGACAGUAACUGACGCUGAGGCGCGAAAGCGUGGGGAGCAAACAGGAUUAGAUACCCUAGUAGUC
rnacentral:rRNA from 1 species